rnacentral:rRNA from 1 species
UACGUAGGGCGCGAGCGUUGUCCGGAAUUAUGGGGCGUAAAGAGCUCGUAGGCGGUUUGUAGCGUCGGCUGUGAAAACUGGAGGCUUAACCUUCAGCGUGCAGUCGAUACGGGCAGACUUGAGUUCGGUAGGGGAGUCUGGAAUUCCUGGUGUAGCGGUGAAAUGCGCAGAUAUCAGGAGGAACACCGGUGGCGAAGGCGGGACUCUGGGCCGAUACUGACGCUGAGGAGCGAAAGCGUGGGGAGCGAACAGG